rnacentral:rRNA from 1 species
GAUGAACGCUAGCGGCAGGCUUAAUACAUGCAAGUCGAGGGGUCAGCAAUGACACCGGCGGACGGGUGCGUAACGCGUAUGCAACCUACCUACAUCAGGGGGAUAGCCCUAGGAAACUGGGAUUAACACCGCAUAAUAUUAUUAAUGGCAUCAUUGAUAAUUGAAAUAUUUAUAGGAAGUAGAUGGGCAUGCGUAAGAUUAGCUAGUUGGUAAGGUAACGGCUUACCAAGGCUACGAUCUUUAGGGGCUCUGAGAGGAGUAUCCCCCACACUGGCACUGAGAUACGGGCCAGACUCCUACGGGAGGCAGCAGUAGGGGAAUAUUGGGCAAUGGAGGCAACUCUGACCCAGCCAUGCCGCGUGCAGGAAGACGGCCUCUGGUUGUAAACUGCUUUUGAAUGGGAAGAAUGUGUGGCUUGCGAGCUAUAAUGACGGUACCAUUAGAAUAAGCCACGGCUAACUACGUGCCAGCAGCCGCGGUAAAACGU